rnacentral:rRNA from 1 species
UGCCCCUUAGACUGGGAUAACUCCGGGAAACCGGAGCUAAUACGGGAUAAUAAAGAGAAUCACCUGAUUCUCUUUUGAAAGACGGUUUCGGCUGUCACUAAGGGAUGGGCCUGCGGCGCAUUAGCUAGUUGGUAAGGUAACGGCUUACCAAGGCGACGAUGCGUAGCCGACCUGAGAGGGUGAUCGGCCACACUGGGACUGAGACACGGCCCAGACUCCUACGGGAGGCAGCAGUAGGGAAUCUUCCGCAAUGGACGAAAGUCUGACGGAGCAACGCCGCGUGAGUGAGGAAGGCCUUCGGGUCGUAAAGCUCUGUUGUGAGGGAAGAACAAGUACCGGCGUAACUACCGGUACCUUGACGGUACCUCACCAGAAAGCCACGGCUAACUACGUGCCAGCAGCCGCGGUAAUACGUAGGUGGCAAGCGUUGUCCGGAAUUAUUGGGCGUAAAGCGCGCGCAGGCGGCUUCUUAAGUCUGAUGUGAAAUCUCGGGGCUCAACCCCGAGCGGCCAUUGGAAACUGGGAAGCUUGAGUGCAGAAGAGGAGAGUGGAAUUCCACGUGUAGCGGUGAAAUGCGUAGAUAUGUGGAGGAACACCAGUGGCGAAGGCGACUCUCUGGUCUGUAACUGACG